UUACACAUGCAAGUCGAACGCCCUCUUCGGAGGGAGUGGCAGACGGGUGAGUAACGCGUGGGAACGUGCCCUUCGGUACGGAACAACAGUUAGAAAUGACUGCUAAUACCGUAUACGACCUCCGGGUGAAAGAUUUAUCGCCGAAGGAUCGGCCCGCGUUAGAUUAGCUUGAUGGUGAGGUAAAGGCUCACCAUGGCGACGAUCUAUAGCUGUUCUGAGAGGAAGAUCAGCCACACUGGGACUGAGACACGGCCCAGACUCCUACGGGAGGCAGCAGUGGGGAAUAUUGGACAAUGGGCGAAAGCCUGAUCCAGCCAUGCCGCGUGGAUGAAGAAGGCCCUAGGGUUGUAAAGUCCUUUCAAUGGUGAAGAUAAUGACGGUAACCAUAGAAGAAGCCCCGGCUAAUUUCGUGCCAGCAGCCGCGGUAAUACGAAAGGGGCUAGCGUUGUUCGGAAUUACUGGGCGUAAAGCGCACGUAGGCGGCCUUGUAAGUUGGGGGUGAAAUCCCGGAGCUCAACUCCGGAACUGCCUUCAAAACUACAAAGCU
rnacentral:rRNA from 1 species